AAAAAAAAAAACAAAAACAGAAGAAUGGGUAGGGUAGGACCGGGGUGUUCUUACUUUUCUACACAAGUUCCAGGUCUUGCUGUGGUUGAUGCUGCAUCUGGCUGGUCCUGCUAGCAGAAGMAGAAAUUCUGGUCUCUAAAAGUAUUUGUAGAGACCUCAUAAAAGACAAACAUUGAAUUCCUUUUCUACUUCGCAUAAAAUAUAUUUAUAAAAAGAAAUGUAUAAAAGAAAUUUCCUUGCCUUCAGUUCCUUAAAGUAUUUCUACGAGGGUUUAAUAUGCUUAAUGUGCUAUGAGGUUAGAAGGAGAACUGGAUGAAUUGUUCCCCACGAGCUAUGUACUGAGGCCUGAAAGGGAGGAAUACCCUACUGCAGUCUUYAAGAGUUGCUGCCACAUAAUCUCAUUUCAGGGGAUGGGCCUUUGCUGGUAGUUGGCCAGAUGUCCCAUUUUACUAGUAAUUCAGCCCAGCUUGGAAUUUCUUUGUUGCAGUUCUUUUACUCCUCGUGUAUCAUUUUACAUUUCUAAUAAACACCUCACAUAAAAACRUGAUCAUGGAGGAAAUGCAGCAGCAACUCAAAAAUGCCACCUCAGUCAUCUGUAACAUUCGCCUUUCUUGCACACAUACAUUAUGCUGCAGUCCUCGACCAUGAGAACGUGUACACUUUUCCCUCCACAGAUACAAUGUUUCUUGACUAGAAUACAACUGUGGUGCUUCAGACUUGAUUCUUUCUUGUCCAGAAAGCUGCACGUUCUUUCAGUUGUCCCAGCUCUUGGUAUAGUUCUGCCCAAAGGGAAUUCUUUAUUUGCUGGUGGUUUCUCAUGAGCUUUUCCCAACUCCAGUAGAAGGAAUUAUACCCAAAAGUUGUCAUACAGUCAAUUAUUCUUGAUUUCAGAAACUGGUUUCCUCAUUYGUUGCAUACAAGUCAACUUCAUUUACAGGAGAAGAGUUUGUGAUUGGUUGAAGAUGCUUUGAAGAUUGRAGAAAGAUGUCGUAGGUUUUUUUCUACUGAAAUCAUUCUUAAAUGAAAAAAAAGCCCUUACAGAAUUGGCACAAUAUAAAUGUAACAUAGAAAUGAAGCAAUGAUCUCUGUUUCCUAUCAAAAGAAAAACUGCUUGCUUUUAUGCCUGGGUGACGUUGUCAAGAGCUCUUGUUCCUUUAGAAUUAUUUCCCUAUGAAGCAGCUGACAGCUCAGUGUGMCUCUGUUUACAGGCGACCUGAGAAGGGAUUCAACCAUUUUGCUGAGCAUCAUUUUCUGAAUCAACAUUAUGGUUACAGAAACCCUCCUGUUUGGUGGCUCAACUCCCAAAUCUACUGUCAUGGAGGUCAAAAGGAGUCGAGUUGGAAGACACCUACUGCUAAUGCCAUUUAAUUGUGUCUCAACGGUACAUCUCUGUCAACUGUAYCUCCAAUGGCAAGGAGUAACUGUGACUUGGGAGCUCAGCCAUUUGGAAGACCAACCAGGCGACCGUGAUCUAUUCCCACCCAGCAGAUGAGGAYGUUGCUAAGGCAGUUUCUCGGUAACUGCAGGAAAUGCUCUGAAAACCCCUGUUGGUGUUGUCUCCUGUUCCUGCUGCACAUCGUCUACUGCUGGGGCUCUGGGCAGUCAUCUCUGAGCUCAUCACAGCAUCACCUCGUUGAUACUUCAUAUGCAUGAGCCCUUCCACACUGUCUCAAGGCCUGCACUUCUGCCUCCUUUUCGAGGUGGACUUCAAACAGUGAAAGCUCAAAGGGUUUUAGAAGUGAUGUUUUGGAAAUAAUUUUACAAGCUGCAGUUUCUGGAACUCCUGUAAUGUCCUUGGGAAAUUUUGUCUGCCAGGUUCUUGUGAUGUUUGAUUUGCCUGUGGCCCUUUCAUCUAUAAACACAAAGAAGCUGUUUCCUUGGAAUACUGGGUGUCAAAAUUAAUGUUCUAGGCUAUCUGGCAGUUAUGAAACACUCAUGUUUAGCCUGAACUUUUUUUUUUAAAGAAAAGAAGUACAAGAAAUAAGAAUCUAGAUCUGCUUAUGACAGUAGAACAUCUUUAAUAUAGUUUUAAUAAAAAGUUCUAUUACAUUCCUUACUUGGAAUGGUAUUAUUUUUCUGUGUGCUGAACAUGAUCUCCAGGAGAACAAGAAUCAGAUAAYAAGAGUCUUAAAAAGUGUUCUGUGUUUUAAAAAUGCAGGUACUCCUAUCUAUCUUAUGUAUGCUAUAAAUAAAAGAUAA